rnacentral:misc_RNA from 1 species
GAUUUCCCAGUUCCAGGAGGACCAUACAGAAGAUAUCCACGCUUCCAAGCCUUGCCAACUCUCUUGUAAAAGUCUUUUCUUGCCAAGAACCUGUCAAGAUCAUCUAUUAUUGCUUUCUUCAAUUCUAGAUUCAUUGCAAGGGUAUCAAACGUGGCAGGAUGCCGAAAAUCAACAGAUUUCCAUCUUUCACCUUCAUAUUUAUCAAGCCGAGUGUACAGCUUCAAAACCUUUUCCUUUU